rnacentral:snoRNA from 1 species
CUGCUGCUAAGGUUUCCACUAUAGAUGCAAGCAUAAGAAGGUCCUCAUGCUUUCUGUCUGUCUGGUUGUGGCAGUCAGGAUUGCAUGGAGGAAUACAGGA